AACGAACGCUGGCGGCGUGCUUAACACAUGCAAGUCGAACGAGAAAGUCCUUCGGGAUGAGUAGAGUGGCGCACGGGUGAGUAAUGCAUAGGAACGUACCGAUAAGUGGGGAAUAACUACAGGCAACUGUAGCUAAUACCGCAUGUGAUAUUAAUUAAAGGUGGCCUCUCCUUGUAAGCUACCGUUUAUCGAUCGGCCUAUGUCCCAUUAGCUAGUUGGCGGGGUAAUGGCCCACCAAGGCAACGAUGGGUAGCUGGUCUGAGAGGAUGGUCAGCCACACUGGGACUGAGAUACGGCCCAGACUCCUACGGGAGGCAGCAGUGGGGAAUAUUGCACAAUGGGCGCAAGCCUGAUGCAGCGACGCCGCGUGAGGGAUGACGGCCUCCGGGUUGUAAACCUCUUUCAGCACCGACGAAGCGCAAGUGACGGUAGGUGCAGAAGAAGGACCGGCCAACUACGUGCCAGCCGCCGCAGUAA
rnacentral:rRNA from 1 species